GGUCAAGCAAAUAAGAGCUGACGGUCGAUACCUAGGCACUCAGAG
rnacentral:rRNA from 1 species